AACGAACGCUGGCGGCAUGCCUAACACAUGCAAGUCGAACGAGAUCUUCGGGUCUAGUGGCGCACGGGUGCGUAACGCGUGGGAAUCUGCCCUUUGGUUCGGAAUAACAGUUGGAAACGACUGCUAAUACCGGAUGAUGACGAAAGUCCAAAGAUUUAUCGCCAGAGGAUGAGCCCGCGUAGGAUUAGCUAGUUGGUGUGGUAAAGGCGCACCAAGGCGACGAUCCUUAGCUGGUCUGAGAGGAUGAUCAGCCACACUGGAACUGCGACACGGUCCAGACUCCUACGGGAGGCAGCAGUUUGGAAUAUUGGACAAUGGGCGAAAGCCUGAUCCAGCGACGCCGCGUGGACGAUGAAGGCCUUCGGGUCGUAAAGUCCUUUUGGCAGGGAAAAAUCUUUGAUUGUACCUGCAGAAUAAGAGGUUGCUAACUCUGUGCCAGCCGCCGCAGUAAGAC
rnacentral:rRNA from 1 species